AUUGAACGCUGGCGGCAUGCUUUACACAUGCAAGUCGAACGGUAACAGGUUAAGCUGACGAGUGGCGAACGGGUGAGUAAUGCAUCGGAACGUGCCCGGUCGUGGGGGAUAACGCAGCGAAAGCUGCGCUAAUACCGCAUACGAUCUGAGGAUGAAAGCGGGGGACCGUAAGGCCUCGCGCGAUCGGAGCGGCCGAUGUCAGAUUAGGUAGUUGGUGGGGUAAAGGCUCACCAAGCCGACGAUCUGUAGCUGGUCUGAGAGGACGACCAGCCCCACUGGGACUGGGACACGGCCCAGACUCCUACGGGAGGCAGCAGUGGGGAAUUUUGGGCAAUGGGCGCAAGCCUGAUCCAGCAAUGCCGCGUGCAGGAAGAAGGCCUUCGGGCUGUAAACUGCUUUUGUACGGAGCGAAAAGGCUCUCUCUAAUACAGGGGGCUCAUGACGGUACCGUAAGAAUAAGCACCGGCUAACUACGUGCCAGCCGCCGCGGUAAUAC
rnacentral:rRNA from 1 species